GAUGAACGCUGGCGGCGUGCCUAAUACAUGCAAGUCGAGCGAACAGAUGAGGAGCUUGCUCCUCUGACGUUAGCGGCGGACGGGUGAGUAACACGUGGAUAACCUACCUAUAAGACUGGGAUAACUUCGGGAAACCGGAGCUAAUACCGGAUAAUAUAUUGAACCGCAUGGUUCAAUAGUGAAAGACGGUUUUGCUGUCACUUAUAGAUGGAUCCGCGCCGCAUUAGCUAGUUGGUAAGGUAACGGCUUACCAAGGCAACGAUGCGUAGCCGACCUGAGAGGGUGAGCGGCGAAGCAGGAGCUACGCCGCGGCCCAGCAGACUGAGGGAGGCAGCAGGGGGGAAUCGUAGACAAGGGGCGAACGACUGACAGAGCAUCUCAGUAGGAAAGAAGAAAGUUGUCAGAUCUUAAAACUCGCUUAUCGGCGAAUAACAAAAAUGCAAGUAACAAUGCACGGCGUGAGGGUAACGAAAUAGAAAGCAACGGAUAACUACGAG
rnacentral:rRNA from 1 species